rnacentral:misc_RNA from 1 species
UCUCCGUUGGUGAACCAGCGGAGGGAUCAUUACUGAGUUUACAACUCCCAAACCCUAUGUGAACAUACCUUUAGUUCCUUCGGCGGGAUCGCCCCGGCCAUUCGAGCGCCGGAACCAGGCCCCCGCCGCAAGACAACAAACCUCUGUUUUUAUAGAGUAUCUUCUGAGUUAGCUUCUAAAGCAAAAAUAAAUUAAAACUUUCAACAACGGAUCUCUUGGCUCUGGCAUCGAUGAAGAACGCAGC